rnacentral:rRNA from 1 species
UACGUAGGGUGCGAGCGUUGUCCGGAAUUAUUGGGCGUAAAGAGCUCGUAGGCGGUCUGUCGCGUCGGUCGUGAAAACUUGGGGCUUAACCCCGAGCUUGCGGUCGAUACGGGCAUGACUGGAGUUCGGCAGGGGAGACUGGAAUUCCUGGUGUAGCGGUGAAAUGCGCAGAUAUCAGGAGGAACACCGGUGGCGAAGGCGGCCAACUGGACGAAUACUGACGCUGAGACUCGAAAGCGUGGGGAGCAAACAGG